GGACUACCGGGGUAUCUAAUCCUGUUUGCUCCCCACGCUUUCGUGCCUCAGUGUCAGUAUUAGGCCAGGUAGCCGCCUUCGCCACUGGUGUUCCUUCCGAUCUCUACGCAUUUCACCGCUACACCGGAAAUUCCACUACCCUCUCCCAUACUCAAGUUAAACAGUAUCAUCUCACACGCCCAGGUUAAGCCCAGGAAUUUCACAGAUAACUUAUUCAACAACCUACGCACCCUUUACGCCCAGUAAUUCCGAUUAACGCUCGCACCCUCCGUAUUACCGCGGCGGCUGGCAC
rnacentral:rRNA from 1 species